UUUAAAAUAUUUUUUAAUUUUCCAUAUAUUUGCUUAUUAUUUUUUUCGUUAGGAUUUUCAGGUUUUUUUUUUUUUUUUCAAGCUGCAUUUUUCAGUUUAAUUUUCCCGAAUUAGUAUUUUUUAUGAAUACUAUUUUUAUGUACUUACAUUAGGGCUGCAGCUAUCGAUUAUUGAAUUGAUAAAUCUAGUAAUUCAAAUAAUCGGGUAAUCUGAUUAGGAACAUUUAAGAUGUCACAGAAUCAAUUUAGGGAGAAGUAAAACAAAGGCUUGCCACGAUUGCACUUUCAAAAGAGAAUGAAAUGCAAAUACAUAAUAAAAUUCCCGGAUGUUUGUCAAAACUAUGCAGGAUUGUUCUUUCAUUUCACAAGAGCAAUAAAUGGAUUUAAAAAUAAAAAUACAUACCUGAGCUUACCCUUAAAAGGUACAAAAAAAUGAAUAAAUUAGGAUCGAAGUACAACAACAGAAAAAUUGGCUAACUUGCAUACUAAAAGUUGGCUAUCUUAAAUGGUAUAAAAUGCUAACGUUUUAUUUUCAAUGCUCUUAACAAAUAGUUCAAACACAUAUUCCCACAAAAUAAUGCUAAAUAUACCUCUAAACUAAAUUACGAACGCAUCAACAAGCAUAUUAGCUCAAACAAAAGCUUACAAACUUAUGUUGGAUUUAACUGGGAGAGACUAGAUCCAACCAUGUUAGAUGAGUUAUGCCAUAGUCACUGUUGCCAAACUUGCCACUAGAGAGCAGUGUGUCCACCUAAAUCAGUAAAACUAAAUGCAAACACUUUCAAAACAAACCAUUAAAACACCACUCUAAUUAAACAAAUCCUCAAAGCAGCAAAAUUUGACUAGAAGCUUUUUUCUAAUUGAAUUUGUCGAGUUAACCGAUUAAUCGUUGCAACACUAACUUACAUGGUCCUCCAAUGCUUUAUGUAUUUUUUAAAAUGAACAUUCAGGCAUCAAGUGGUUAAUCAUUACCAACAUUGUCUCCGUUUGACCAUUUUUGACACUUACCUGUGCCGAUCUUCAGUCUGCCACUCUGAGGCGCGGAGACGCCACCGCCGCCGUUCAUUGCUCGGCGUCUGGUCGAGCUGACUCCGCCCCCUCCACUUCACCACGCCCACAUGCAAACAAAACAUUGCGUGAACACAUUGAAGUUGGACAUUUGGUGUUUGAUCGGUUGGAAACAUUUCUAUCACGAAAAAAACUAUAAACUUCACAAACAAUCUGACUGAAGACUGACAGACUCAUUGGCCGCCAUUGACGGUGACAGACAAUCAUGUGGCUCUUAGAAAUUAGUUCAAACUAUCUCAAUAAAUUUAUCCCUAGUGGACUUCCAAGGCAUUUGAACUGGGAAUGUUGACGCUAGGCAUGUGCCGGCAUGAUAACCUUAAGCCAAAAUAUCACGGGUUUCACGGUAUCAUUGUAUUCCAUUUACAGCUCUAAAAUGUGUUAGAGAUAUUUGGGUUUAACAAAAAUAAAUGUCCAUUGAACAGGAUUUUUAUUUUUCAACAUGUCAAAGUUUUAAAACUGUUUAAUCAUUUAAAGAUAGAUUCAGGUCAAGAUUUUGCCGAUUUAGGAGAAUUUUAGAUAAAAAGUUAAUUAGGUUCGCUACAACAGAGCCUUCUAGAGAAGUCUACUGUUUUAAGAUGGCGGCUGUUUACCAAUGCCAGCAAGUCUGUCAUUUCGCAUCUAGUUCUCAAUACAUGUUCUAACGCCGCUGUCGUUUUUCAUUUUGCAUCUAGUUCUACAUAUAUGUGAUAUCUACUGUAGCAGUAUGUGGCCGUAUGCUUGUAGCAACUAGGCGUUGUUAGUAGCGGCUGUCGGCCACAGUCAGGUAGUUUUGUUUUUUUUAUCUAGCAGCAUGAGUAGAACAUUUACUCUCGGUCCGUUCCUCAUUGCGUUCCGAAGACCGCGCUCACUGUUUGUCUGCUUUACCUGGCAUAAUUCAAUAAUCAGAAUUUGGAUGUUUGUGAAUCGCUCUCGAAUCUUCCACAGCCGAAUCGCGAAUAAUCUAAGAAUUGGAAAUUUCACACGCCUCUAGUGUUUACUAUCCUUUACUUCUGUAUAAAUGUGAAAUCAUAUUGGAGGUAUUGCCUCCUCGGCAGCCACCCUCCGCAAACAACGUUUUACAUGUCUGUUGGCCAUCCUCCUCUAAGCCGCGGCCGUCUGUAACUUUACUGUAGCCGAAGUAUUCCCAUACCAGCGAUUUGGUUUUCUUCGAUGGGGGGAAAAAGUUCAGUUGUUUCACCACCUCCAGCCAUCGUGUCGCACAUCUGACUCACUGAUACUGAGCAACAACCGGUAGGGGAGGGUUGAGCCUUGCAGCUGCACGCGAGGGAUUUUUCCAUGCAUUUUUGGGACAUAAAAAAUAGCUAAUACCUUAUGGGACGGUAUGAUGGAAAAUUUUUGCAGUUUUCAUACCACGGUAAACCUUGAAACCAGUAAUCCUCACAUGUCUAGUGGUAGCGAAUGAAUGUUCGUUCAUUUGCUGCCAACCCUCCCACUUCCAAUGGAUUGGACGUCUAGUGCUGUCAGUGGCAGUUGAAGCAUUGCAUUGGAUUGCUGAUGCAAAAAUAUCCUCCAUGGCAGUACAGCAAAAACAAUUGAGUAUUGAUACUUUUGAAUCACGUGACCUAUCUAGAUACGCAACUUACGUAUCGAUACUUUUGCCACAAUAUUUUAAUAUCGUGCACAAGUAAUAUUAUCAGUUGGCGUUGCGGCACGGCCGGAAAUGACGCGUGUCACUGAAACUUCCGCUGGCACCAACACAAACCGUCGGGCCCUCAAAAUCUGGGCCUUCAAGAACAGAAAAGAAGUGGAAACGGGCGAAAAAGUGAGGUGAAAAAAAAAACUGCAAGUGGCGACGUUUAUCGAGUCACGUGGGCUACAGAAGACGAAGAAGAAAAAUAAAAGGCGGGACUCAAUGUGUCACUUAAGAACAAAAACAAACACAUGUCUUUCAAAUUCGCGCUGACUUGUGGUUCUGAUUGUUGUAGCGGUUGUGUGGGCUCUCACGGUUGCGUCGGUUGGAGCCAACAAGCCUUCACCGACAGGCCGCCAUGAACUAGCCAAGACAACACGGCGCCAACGACGAGGCCCAAAAGCCUAUUUAGUAGGCAAAAAGUCCACUUCGGACUCACCUCGAGGUUCCGGUGGCCAGUCCGCACGCUCCUGAACACCGUGUGGCGGUUCGGUGGCCGUCCUUGCAUCCAAAGUGCCCUUUCUUUGUGCCUGAAGCCCCGGGGAGUCUGCUCCAAAGCGAUCCGACAAAAGGAGCGUCUGGUCCGGGAUGAAACUCCGCCCAGCGCCGCAGGGGGAGGACCUCCGCGGCCAACGUGAAGACGAGGCGGAGAAAGGCAGCGCGCGCCCCGGAGAUGAGACCAGCCGAGACGGACCGGCGAGGCCCUAGUCGCCCUUUUAAACGUCUUGUUGACGCGUGUCAUUUCAAGAAAAAGGCAAAUAUCCGUCCCCGUGACUGGGGAUUGGCGGCGGGGCGGCCCGGCGUAGUGGCCCUGGGCCGGGCUGCCGCCGGAGAUUUGUCUAUUUCCAACGGCGGCCGCUCGAAGGCUCCUGCCCGGUGGACCCGGCGAAGGCGUCGCGGCGUUGGCUGUCGUGAGGACCGCUGAUGACACCUCGGCUCGGACCUCCGCAGGACGUCUGUCUGCUUUUCUGUUGUCAACCGCCCGGCUGCCUGAGGACCCAGCUCUUCGUGCCGGCGCGGCUUGAGAACAGGUUCCUCUGGAGCCCGAAGACACCGUGCCGAUCCAGGACAACCUCGUGGCGGCACGACGGGCAGCGGAAUCGGCCGCCAGAUGGCGCCGUCGAGCCCCCUCUGGAACUCAGGCCAAUAAGCUUACCAUGGGUCCGAUGCUGCAAGUCCUCCUCCUCGUCCACAUCGUCAUCUUGCAGGUCGUCGUAAGGAGUCUCCGCGUCCUGGUCGGCAGGGGACGGGGCCUUGAGGCGUCCGCAGCAGCAGUCGCAGCAGCAACACAAGCAGCAGCAGCAGUAAAAUCCCGUCAGCAGCCCGCACAGAACAAAUAAACCCUGAGCACAAAGCGCACAGCCACCACGUCACUUCAGGGUUUGUCCGUAUGGGGUUCACAUUUGUUACCACAAAAAAAUGUGUACUCUCAGAAAAAUGUGUUCCCAAAAAUCACUUUUUGUGCUUGAACAAAUAAUUUUUGUCUGUGAAUUUUUUUAUGCAGAAUUAUUAAGUGAGUGUAAAUACUUGUUUUAUGUAAACACUAUUUGUUUUGGCGAGUGCACAAUUUUUUUAUUUUUUAUUUUUUUUUGCGAAUGUGAAUUUUUUUUUUCCUAUCACGAUUUUUUUAAUUGAUUUUUUUUUUUUUUUUAUUUACGACCUAAAUUAUUUUUGCUCAAGAUGUUACUCAUUACUUGAGUAUUUUUUUCAACUACAAUACUUUUUUUAUACUAACUAAAUACUUUUUUACUUGUACCUGAGUACAUUUUUGGAUGACUACGUUAGUAAUAUUAUUUAGAAGUAGGGCUGUGAAAUUGAUCGCGUUAACGGGCGUUAAUUAAUUUUUCUAAAUAAUCAUGUUAAAAUAUUUGAUGCAAUUAACGCACAUGCCCCACUCAAUCAGAUUAAAAUGACAGCAGUGUCAUGUCCACUUGUUACUUGUGUUUUUUGUCUCCCUCUGCUGGCGCUUUGGUGCGACUGAUUUUAUGGGUUGACAUCAACAAUGGCGAGCUACUAGUUUAUUUUUUGAUUGAAAAUUUUACAAAUUUUAUUAAAACGAAAACACUAAGAAGGGUUUUAAUAUAAAAUUUCUAUAACUAGCACUAACAUUUAUCUUUUAAGAACUACAAGUCUUUCUAUCCAUGGAUCGCUUUAACAGAAUGUUAAUGCCAUCUUCUUGAUUUAUUCUUAUAAUAAACAAAUACAGUACUUAUGUACCGUAUGUUGAAUGUAUAUAUCCGGCUUGUGUCUUAUCUUUCCAUUCCAACAAUAAUUUACAGAAAAAUAUGGCAUAUUAUAUAGAUGGUUUGAAUUACGAUUAAUUACGAUUAAUUAAUUUUUAAGCUGUGAUUAACUCGAUUAAAAAUUUUAAUUGUUU